rnacentral:rRNA from 1 species
GUGGAUUAGAUAGCCUGGUAGUCCACGCCCUAAACGAUGUCUACUAGUUGUCGGGUUUUAAUUAACUUGGUAACGCAGCUAACGCGUGAAGUAGACCGCCUGGGGAGUACGGUCGCAAGAUUAAAACUCAAAGGAAUUGACGGGGACCCGCACAAGCGGUGGAUGAUGUGGAUUAAUUCGAUGCAACGCGAAAAACCUUACCUACCCUUGACAUGGCAGAAAUCCUCGAGAGAUUGAGGAGUGCUCGAAAGAGAAUCUGCACACAGGUGCUGCAUGGUCGUCGCCAACU